rnacentral:tRNA from 1 species
AGCAGCAUGGCGCAGUUGGAAGCGCGCGGGGCCCAUAACCCCGAGGUCACUUGAUCGAAACAAGUUGCUGCUA